rnacentral:rRNA from 1 species
UACGUAGGGACCAAGUGUUGUUCGGAUUUACUGGGCGUAAAGGGCGCGUAGGCGGCAAUUCAAGUCAUCUGUGAAAUCUCCGGGCUUAACCCGGAACGGUCAGGUGAUACUGUUUUGCUAGAGUGCGGAAGGGGCAAUCGGAAUUCUCGGUGUAGCGGUGAAAUGCGUAGAUAUCGAGAGGAACACCAGAGGUGAAGACGGGUUGCUGGGCCGACACUGACGCUGACAGCGCGAAAGCCAGGGGGGCAAACGGG